rnacentral:rRNA from 1 species
GAUGAACGCUGGCGGCGUGCUUAACACAUGCAAGUCGAACGAUGAAGCCCAGCUCGCUGGGUGGAUUAGUGGCGAACGGGUGAGUAACACGUGAGUAACCUGCCCUUAACUCUGGGAUAAGCCUGGGAAACUGGGUCUAAUACCGGAUAGGAGCGCCUACCGCAUGGUGGGUGUUGGAAAGAUUUAUCGGUUUUGGAUGGACUCGCGGCCUAUCAGCUUGUUGGUGAGGUAAUGGCUCACCAAGGCGACGACGGGUAGCCGGCCUGAGAGGGUGACCGGCCACACUGGGACUGAGACACGGCCCAGACUCCUACGGGAGGCAGCAGUGGGGAAUAUUGCACAAUGGGCGAAAGCCUGAUGCAGCGACGCCGCGUGAGGGAUGACGGCCUUCGGGUUGUAAACCUCUUUCAGUAGGGAAGAAGCGAAAGUGACGGUACCUGCAGAAGAAGCACCGGCUAACUACGUG